GAUCCCCGUGGUGUCCUCGUCUCACCCUGUGGUCAGCUUUGUACAGCCAGGGCGUGUGGUGCCCCCUCCCCUGCUGCAUGGCAUACGUGCUGUGCUGUGCCCCUGCCUCCCGUCUGCCCUGGUGUGUCCACGUGUUAUGUGCGCUGAACUCCUUAUGCCCAGCAAGCACCCCCAACCGCGGCCAACUUGGGGCCUGGCCAGCAGCUGCCCCCCUGGACACAGAGUGGAGCGGAGUAAACCUGGCCGCCAGCUUCAUUCAUUGGGGGCUCUGAGGCAGGACCCAGGGCAAGGCUGUGGUAGAAGCUCUGGCAGAGAACCUGACAGAGUCCAGUACUGCUUGCAGCUCCAAGGGGCCAAGGCCACCAAGCCUGUCUUCGUUCCCACAAGUCCCACUGCUGUCUCUCGAUUUCCUCAUCACUCCACCUUGAAAAAAUACACAUCUGCAACCUUCA